rnacentral:lncRNA from 7 species
ACGUACACAAAUGCUGAAUCUCACCUACUCCCAUCUUGCAUGCAAGCUACUGAAACAUCCAAUUUUUCUGCAGUAAGUAAGAGAACUACAACUCAAUGGUCAGGUGUGCACCUGUCACUUGAACAUUACCAGACCAGAGAGUAUGCUGAAAUCAAAGGAGGAGAAAAGAAGUUGCUUUGAUUUGUCUUCUAUGCCACUGAGUAUGGAGGGGGAAUGGUUGUGGUUUCGGUAUACAACAAGGAAGUUUCUCUUGGAGGAAACUACGCUGGAGGUGCAGUCACGCACCAAAUACAGCCUCUAACAGAGCCCCUAAGAGUCCGAACCAAUGACCUGGCUUGCUUCAAACCACGUAUGCAGUGAAGCACAAGGAAUCAGACUAUAUGAAGGCAUUGGUGCAGAGCUACAAGUCUCAGCAGUAACUGCUUUCACCUACUGAUAUUCUACUACUGCACCAAGCAUCUCAGCAAUCUGCACAUAGCCAAAGAAUCCCGAGGGCUAAUAAACACUUCACAGCAGGAUCCUUCCCCAGAAUUGCUUCAGAGAAGUCUGACUACUACAUCCUCUCUAUCUCCUAAAACCAGUCUAACUUCCAUCUGGAAGCUACCUUCCAUGGAAAGGUCUGGGUCUACCUCAAAGGAACUUUUUUCUGGCAAUACAGUAUUUUUACAUUCAGUUCUAUUUAGAUGCUAAUUUUGAAACCACCUCCCACUUCGCUUGUUAGAUGGCUGUAUCAGUUCUUCCACAGGCUCCCUCUAACCAAAUUCAAGCUUGUCACCAGCAAUGUAUAGUGCUGCAGGAAGCCCAUGGCUCUACUACUUGUGGGCAGAGCUCCUCCCCCAGCUGUGAUUCUGGAACACUGACUCUCUAACUCUGGGUAGUGUCUGGCUACCAGGCAUCAGAAAAGCGAUAAUCAAGAAGCUGAAUUUCUGCCUUGUGCUGGAAUUUAGCAAGAGCCAAACUCUCAUGACAUGCCAAUAUUCAAAUGCAGAAGUUAUCCCCAGCAGAUAUUCUAGAGAAUCCCUUUGUAAUUGGGCCACCAGCAGUCAGUGGUGAGAUUGUUAGAGCUUUUUUUCUGUACUCCUAGUUUGCAAAUAAUCAUCCCCUCCCUCUCUCCAGAUCUUUGAAACAAACACUGAAUCACAUUCUUAACACUACCACAAAAUAGCAAUAAAGUCAGGCACAGCUUAGACUAUCACUAAAAUAAACGUGUUG